rnacentral:rRNA from 1 species
UAAGGAAUCUUCCACAAUGGGGGCAACCCUGAUGGAGCAACGCCGCGUGCAGGAUGAAGGCCUUCGGGUCGUAAACUGCUUUUAUGAGUGAAGAAUAUGACGGUAACUCAUGAAUAAGCACCGGCUAACUACGUGCCAGCAGCCGCGGUCAUACGUAGGGUGCAAGCAUUAUCCGGAGUGACUGGGCGUAAAGAGUUGCGUAGGCGGUCCGUAAAGCGAAUAGUGAAAUCUGGUGGCUCAACCAUCAGACUAUUAUUCGAACUCACGGACUCGAGAGUGGUAGAGGUAACUGGAAUUUCUAGUGUAGGAGUGAAAUCCGUAGAUAUUAGAAGGAACACCAAUGGCGUAGGCAGGUUACUGGACCAUUUCUGACGCUAAGGCACGAAAGCGUGGGGAGCGAACCGGAUUAGAUACCCCCGUAGUCC